CCGCUGUGCUUCCUUUCCGCCCGGACGCCGACUGAGGAGGAUGUACGUGUCCUUGUCAGCCAUGCCGGCCGGUCGGCGGCGGAGUGUGUGGGCUCCUGACCAGGCCCCGAGAUGUGAGACUUCUGUCUUAGUUCCUACUCUCCGUGCCGGGUUCCAGAGUUCUGUGGGUUCCGAGCGCGGCGCCUCCAUACCAGCGGCCUUUCCUUGCACCCGCGCGGCGGAGCGGCCGGGACAACGGGAACUUCCCCCGCACCCACGAUAAUUUCUAGGUACAACAGAGCCUGAACUUUGAAGAUGGCAUGAAGGUUGUCAUGACAUAUUUUCCAAAAAAUUGUCAAAAGAAGACUGGUGAAAAAUACCAGGAUCACUAUUGCAUGUAACAAGGUAGCUGCACAUGAAUGUUCAGGUCCUUCAGCUGGGGUGUUUAAAAGCACUUCCUUGUCUCAAGUGUGGCAUGCAACAUUUUGAAGGAAAGAUGAAGAAUUGAUCAAGAAAACAGAAGCAAAGAAAAGUUUUCAUAUCUAUAACCUUAUAAUAAACUGUAGAAAAAUAACAUGUUCAGUUACUUAUUUAAACCUUAAAAUAAACUGUAGAAAAAUAA